CAAAGAAUGACUUUAAGAAAGCCUGGAGGAAGUACCCCUAUGAAAUUAAUGUUAAAUAUUGAACAUCCUGGCCCCGAGGAUGCAGACCGAUAUGUAAUGGGAAUGUAUUGGAAGAAAGGUUCCUACAACAAAUUAGGUCAUUUCUACCUCAGAGAUAUGUCCCACUCUCCAGAGUGGCAAGGGGCUGAUCAUAUGGUCCCAAAUCCGCUAAAACCACAUAUCCAGUCCUUUAAAGAUAUGAUGGCCAUCGCUAACCCCACUUUUGAAGAUACCAUGGCCGCUGAAACUGGAUUCAAUGACAUUAGUUUGUGGUUAGAAUGGAUGAGGUAUAAUGCCAACAAACAUAAUAAAACAGCAUGUUAUGUAUGUGGCGGUGCCCGACCCCACCUUGGCACCGUCCCCCUAAUUCUCCCUUUAGAGAUAGAAGAUUGCUUCUUAAGCCUUUUUGCCUACCAAUAUGACUUUAAUAGGUCCCUCUGCAUGGCAUGGACGGCAGAAUACCCUCUCUUAGUUGAAAAUGUUAAGCCACCAGAUGGAAUCACAGUCUAUAGAGGUAAUUACACUUGUUAUGCCAUGUAUGACGGGAUUGGUAAAUUCAUGGGUAAUUUUUCUAAAGGUUAUUGCGCCACUUACAGACCUGUUCCUAUACGCCUGUUGCAACACCAUACCAGGUCAUUGGGGGAUAUUUACUGGUUAUGUGGGGAUCUACAGUUAAGAUCUAGGCUGGAAACUGAGUGGUGGGGUGAGUGUACCCUGGCCAAAGUUAUCAUGCCCAUUCAUAUUAUUUCUGAUAAUCAUCAUGACACAUACGACCCUCCACAUACACCAGCCAGAGUAAGGUGCGAAACCCCAGUAAAAGGCAGUUUUGACCCCCACAUUUACAUAGAUGCCAUUGGGGUGCCUAGGGGGGUGCCUAAUGAAUUUAAAGCUAGAGAUGAAGUAGCUGCAGGUUUUGAAUCACUUUUUACCAUAGUCACUGCCAACAAAAACCUUAAUUGGAUUAAUUAUAUCUAUUACAACCAACAGCGCUUCGUGAACUACACCAGGGAUGCCCUCCAGGGCUUGGCCGAGCAAUUACAGGCCACAUCCCAAAUGACCUUCCAGAACAGACUGGCCUUAGACAUGAUCUUAGCCGAAAAAGGGGGAGUCUGUAAAAUACUUCCCGACACUAUGACUUGUUGCACUUAUAUCCCAGAAAACACAGGUCCUAAUGGUAAAGUCACUCUGGCCAUAGCUAAAUUAAAUAGACUCUCAGAAGAGUUAAAGAGAAACUCUGGAGUUACUGAUCCCUGGGAAAAAUGGUUUGGUUGGAUGACUGGUUGGCAGAGAGCUUUAGUCCAGAUUGGUAUUGCCUUACUAAUUUUUCUUUUUUAUUCUCGCUCUUCUCAUUUGUUGUGUCCUCCCAUGCCUAAGGAAAUUCCUGCAGAAAACUGUAGACCAAGCAACACCAACCUUCACUCAUCUGACAAUCGAUGAUCAAGACCUCAUCAGUCUAGGAAGGGACAGUACAGGGACAGCGUCCGUCUUUAUGGGUAGACUGCCGUACGGAGAAGUAGUGGAUAAGCCACUAUGGGUUACCAGCG
rnacentral:lncRNA from 1 species